rnacentral:rRNA from 1 species
GGUUAAGCGACUAAGCGUACACGGUGGAUGCCCUGGCAGUCAGAGGCGAUGAAGGACGUGCUAAUCUGCGAAAAGCGUCGGUAAGGUGAUAUGAACCGUUAUAACC